rnacentral:rRNA from 1 species
CACUCCUGCGGGAGGCAGCAGUGGGGAAUUUUGGACAAUGGGCGAAAGCCUGAUCCAGCAAUGCCGCGUGCAGGAUGAAGGCCUUCGGGUUGUAAACUGCUUUUGUACGGAACGAAAAAGCUCCUUCUAAUACAGGGGGCCCAUGACGGUACCGUGAGAAUAAGCACCGGCUAACUACGUGCCAGCAUCCGCGGUAAUACGUAGGGUGCGAGCGGUAAUCGGAAUUACUGGGCGUAAAGCGUGCGCAGGCGGUUAUGUAAGACAGAUGUGAAAUCCCCGGGCUCAACCUAGGAACUGCAUUGGUGACUGCAUGGCUAGAGUACGGUAGCGGGGGAUGGAAUUCCGCGUGUAGCAGUGAAAUGCGUAGGUAUGCGGAGGAACACCGAUGGCGAAGGCAAUCCCCUGGACCUGUACUGACGCUCAUGCACGAAAGCGUGGGGAGCAAACAGGAUUAGAAACCCGAGUAGUCCCAUGAU